UAUCAUGUCCCUCAGUCAUGCUGUUGCGUGAACUGUACAAAUCCACGCUGUGUACCUCUCCUGUUGCUUCCGCUGGGCCCGGAGCAUGCAUUUUGGAUAAGUUUGCCACCACUCGCAUGGUCGAUGGCUGUGUGGAGUGUUGGCAGCUCUCGGAGGCUGCUCUGGAUCCACAUGCCUGGCGGGAGGAUGCAUAAUAUCUCAGUUUACUAUUACAUCUGUCUGAACAAUGAACCAUACAAAUUUUAAAACUUUCAGCAACGGAUCUCUUGGUUCUCGCAUCGAUGAAGAACGCAGCGAAAUGCGAUAAGUAGUGUGAAUUGCAGAAUUCAGUGAAUCAUCGAAUCUUUGAACGCACAUUGCGCCUUUCGGUAUUCCGGAGGGCAUGCCUGUUCGAGAGUCAUUAACAACCGUCUCGAGUUCUUUCAUAUUUCAUAUCUCAAGGGCUCGGUUGUGGUGGAUGAGGCGACUUCUUAUAUAUGUGAUGAGCACCCUCCCCACCGAAAUUGAGAGGCGGUCUAUCCCCACGUGUUUGCGGCGUUGUAAAAGCUGUCCAGCACUUCUCGCUUGAACUGUGGGUGAACGGCCAGCCAAUUGUGAAACCCCCCCAUUUUAUCAAAGGUUGACCUCGGAUCAGGUAGGGAUACCCGCUGAACUUUAA
rnacentral:rRNA from 1 species